rnacentral:rRNA from 1 species
GACGAACGCUGGCGGCGUGCUUAACACAUGCAAGUCGAACGGUAAGGCCCUUCGGUGUCCACGAGUGGCGAACGGGUGAGUAACACGUGGGUAAUCUGCCCUGCACAUCGGGAUAAGCCUGGGAAACUGGGUCUAAUACCGAAUAGGACCACAGUACACAUGUCCUGUGGUGGAAAGCUUUUGCGGUGUGUGAUGGGCCCGCGGCCUAUCAGCUUGUUGGUGGGGUGAUGGCCUACCAAGGCGACGACGGGUAGCCGGCCUGAGAGGGUGUCCGGCCACACUGGGACUGAGAUACGGCCCAGACUACUACGGGAGGCAGAAGUGGGGAAUAUUGCACAAUGGGCGAAAGACUGAUGCAGCGACGCCGCGUGGGGGAUGACGGCCUUCGGGUUGUAAAACUCUUUCACCAUCGACGAAGGUCCGGGUUUUCUCGGGCUGACGGUAGGUGGAGAAGAAGCACCGGCCAACUACGUG